rnacentral:rRNA from 1 species
GUAGGUGGCAAGCGUUGUCCGGAAUUAUUGGGCGUAAAGCGCGCGCAGGCGGGUUCUUUAAGUCUGAUGUGAAAGCCCACGGGCUCAACCGUGGAGGGUCAUUGGAAACUGGAGAACUUGAGUACAGAAGAGGAAAGGGGAAUUCCACGUGUAGCGGUGAAAUGCGUAGAGAUGUGGAGGAACACCAGUGGCGAAGGCGGCUUUCUGGUCUGUAACUGACGCUGAGGCGCGAAAGCGUGGGGAGCAAACAGGAUUAGAUACCCUGGUAGUCCACGCCGUAAACGAUGAGUGCUAAGUGUUAGGGGGUUUCCGCCCCUUAGUGCUGCAGCUAACGCAUUAAGCACUCCGCCUGGGGAGUACGGCCGCAAGGCUG